CCUACGGGAGGCUGCAGUGAGGAAUAUUGGUCAAUGGCCGCAGGGCUGAACCAGCAAAGUCGCGUGAGGGAUGACGGUCCUAUGGAUUGUAAACCUCUUUUGUCAGGGAGCAAAGGGCGCCACGUGUGGCGCUUUGCGAGUACCUGAAGAAAAAGCAUCGGCUAACUCCGUGCCAGCAGCCGCGGUAAUACGGAGGAUGCGAGCGUUAUCCGGAUUUAUUGGGUUUAAAGGGUGCGCAGGCGGAAUGUCAAGUCAGCGGUAAAAUUUCGGGGCUCAACCCCGUCGUGCCGUUGAAACUGGCGUUCUUGAGUGAGCGAGAAGUAGGCGGAAUGCGUGGUGUAGCGGUGAAAUGCAUAGAUAUCACGCAGAACUCCGAUUGCGAAGGCAGCAUACCGGCGCUCAACUGACGCUCAUGCACGAAAGCGUGGGUAUCGAACAGGAUUAGAUACCCAAGUAGUC
rnacentral:rRNA from 1 species